rnacentral:lncRNA from 1 species
UCAAGAUUGUCCUCCAUACGAGAAGGAUGAGGUGGAUUUAAGCCUUGGAGCUGGUAGGAGAAGAAGAAGUGGUUCCUCUGGUGAACCAAUGUGUUCCCUGCUACCCACAUAUUCUGAAAAUAUUGCAACUGAUGGAGACCAUAAGAAACCUAAUGAACAAUCACAAGUUCAAUUUAGGAUGAUCUGCUCCCAUGGUGCAGCUGGAAGAAUCAUAGGCACAGGAGGGUCUGUAGUCAGAGCUCUGCAAAAUCAAACUGGUGCUUCUAUCAUCUUUGCUCGUCCUAUAACCAACUCUGAUGACCGUCUAGUUACUGUUUCUGCAUUGGAGAACCUUGAAUCAUCGCACUCUCCUGCACAGAAUGCACUUCUUCUUGUCUUUGCUAGAUCUAUUGAGCAUGACAUUGAAAGAGCUCGUUCCUUGGGCUUGAUUGAGGAAAUUACCGUGACAGCAACCCUUCUGCUGCCAUCAAAUAAGGUCUAUUGUUUGAUUGGAAGAGGAGGUAGGGUAGAUUCAGAAAUGAUAGAAACAACUGGUGCUGAUAUACAGAUAAUGCAAGGGGAUCAAUUCUUUGAUUUGGCUUCUAAGAAUGAUGCAGUAGUGCAGGUGCAAUUCUUAUCGUCUUACUUUUUUUUAUUAGUUUUCAAGUUAUUGCGACAUUAAAAGGAUUUUAGCAUACAACAUAAACUGGGUUGAAGUAUGUCAUUGAGUCUAAUAAUCAUUGCUUAAUGUGAUUUUUGGUGCUGCCGCUAUUUGUGCUUGUAAUCAGUUAUCUGCUCCUCUCCCUCCAAGAACAAUCAACACUUCUUCAUCACCUGUCGUUGUCAUCAUCUAGUUUGGUUAGCAAAUUUCACCUCUUCUUGUAACAUUUUCAGAGCUCUACCAGUUCUCUGCGCAUCAGUUGUAUUUGGAUUUUUUUUUUCCAUUUAUCUUAUUAUAUAAAAUUUUGAUGUCUUUGCUGUUUGUUGUGUAGAUAUGCAAUAUUUUAAAUGUACCAAGAGUUCUGUCACUUAUCGGUUGCCUUUUGUUCUUUAAAAUUGCCUGAUGCUUUCAAAGUCGAGAAUUUUUCUUGAUUAUCCAGGAUAAAAACUGGUAUAGAACUAUAGAUACAUACUGGUAAAGCAUUUGGAGCUUCUAUAGAAGAUUUAUGUCUUUUUGUUUUUGAAUUCCCAUUCCCCUACCUUCUUUUUAAAAACCUUUGGUGCCACCUGCCUAGCGAUUUAUUCCCUAACUGUUACAUGUUUUGCAGAUUACUGGUGAGCACAAAAAUGUACAGAAUGCUCUGUUUCAAGUUACCUGUAAACUGAGGGAGAAUCUUUUGCCCACCAAGAUGCUCAAUGGAUUGAGGGCGGGGAGCCCCUAUAGAAGAGCGGGGGAGAGCACUAUGUUGCAUCAAUCAGCUGGAUCAGUCAGCCGGCGAAUGUCUCGAUUCCAAUCAGGAAACAGGUUUGGAAGAAAGAGUGGAUCAAGUACGUGAUCCUCCUUUACCAAACUUGCAGCAAGGGGAAGAUUUUCUCUUCCCUUGUUUGCAGUUUUAUAUGUAGUUCAGCCCAAAAGGUUUGUUGUCAUGUGGUCGUGGAAAUUGCAUAGUGGGCGGACAACAUACAGCACAGACAAUGAAAGCAGCUCAACCUCCUCUGGCAAGGUUUCAGAACUUGAAAGGGUACCGAGGGAGGUGCUUAAUCAGGCACGAGGGAGUUCUGGUGGGGGAGUGUUGGAUGGAGACCACUUGUCCUGAAUCUCCUGAUUAUGUUCCAGAAGAAAUUUUAACACACUAGGAAAUGACAUUUUAGCUGUUUAACAUAGAUAUGGUUUGUGUCACACUCCUGCGUGCUUGUCAAUUUGAAAUAGUACGCUGUAAUAUUUACCUGUUAAUAUGGAAGCAUUCUUCUUAUAGUCAGGGUGCUUUAGGUUGUGAAGAUGAUGAUUUGGAUAAAAAAUUAAGUAAGAAAAUAUGACUUAGGAUAUUUGACUCAUCGGUGAGAUGGAGAAGGAAUCGAUCUGUUGUGUGCUCAAGUGAGAGACAAAUGAAACCUUUUCCAUAUUUUGCCAUAUUUGCUUAUCUGUGGAAAUAAACUAGGGCAAAGGCCAAGAGCAUGAACUCCAUCAAAAUUAUUUAAAUGAAAUAAAAUUAUUGCUUUAAUUUCUAAUGUCAAUGAAAGACAUGGUUCAAGGCAGGGAGAUUUUGGGAUGUCUUGACUGGUAAAAUUCUUCCUUAUUUUGGGGAGAGAGAUUCUUCAGAUAUAAAACCCUUAACAUAAAUAAUUAUUUAUGUAGAAAAACCUUUACUGGACUUUUUGCAAGGUUAUCAUUUCACUUUAAUUCCAUCAGUUCUUCUUUCAAAAUAGAUUAUGAUUUUCUUGAAAAUUUACAUGUCAACUUUAGAAUCUAUGAGAUUAGUUGAGAUAAGCGCAAGUUAACCCGAACAUUCAUAUUAAUAAUAAUAAUAAAAAACAGAUUAUGUUGAAACAUAUUUAAUUUCACUUAGAAUCUUGACUUGUUUCGGUAAUUCUGUUUAAAUUUCACCUGAAACGUUAUGGUUUUAUUUUAGUUGUUCGGUUCUAGCCAAAUAGUGUAUUUUUUUUGUUUUAUUUUUUUAAAAAGGAAAUCUAUGUUUUUUCCUCUCUCUAUUUUCUUCAUUAAAUUUUGGACAACUGGAGAUGAUGACGGGAAUAGUUAUUGAUAAGGUCAGGGUGAGUUGUAUUUUUUUGCUUUAUCAAAAAGGGUUGAUUUCAGGGGAGCUAGUGUUCGGAAAGCUUUGUGAUGUUUUUAUUUCUCAUAUCUUAUUGAACUCGCUUUUUCCAUAUAUAUAUAUAUAUAUAUAUACAAUUACUGAUACGAAACAAUAAAAAGACUAGGAAAUACUGGAAUAUUAAUAGGAAGAAAAUGCCACGUGUAAGCUUAUGUAACUGCCUCGACUAACAAAGAAGACAAAGUCACACGAUGUCCUUCUUGCUCCUGCCCUUGCAAAUGAUCUUCGCAUGUGCAUGUAUAUAUGUCCUGUCUGCAAAAUGGCCAUAUCAAUUCACUGCAUUUAUUACUUACUCAAGCAAUCAUGCAUUUAUUUCAUCAAAUUAUCACGGGGUAUAAUAUUGGUAUAAACCUUCCCGGAGCAAGUUUCUUGUUUUCGUUUGUUUGUGUGGUUGUUUCUACGUUUGAAGCAACCACAACAAAAUAAAUAUUUAAUUAUAUUAGAAAUGCAAUUUAUUUUUAGUGGGGCCUAGUACAAAUCACGUUUAAAACACAGGUUCUGUCGAAGCAGCUCCAAACUGCUUUUCUUCUUCACUGUUCAGUGUUUUAGUGAAUUGUAAUGUUCACUUAAAACAAUGAACACUGUAAGUGAAAUUUAAUUCACUCAUACUGUUCGCGUAAACUGUUUUUUUUUAUAAAAAAACUAGUUUAGAGUGAAUUAAAUUAACUCGCACUGUCAUGUGAACAAAUUUUACUAGUGUAGAGUGAAUUAAAUUCACUCGCACUGUAAUAUCAAUUUUAUUCCUGAUAAUAUUUUAUCUAGUUUUAUUGCAAGCUUGCAAGCUAAAAAAAUUAUGAAAAUUGUAGUUCUUGUCGGAUGAAUUUUGUACGUAAUGGAAUUGUAGAUGGUUUAAUGAAAUAAUAAAAAAUCUUUUAUAUAAAGUAUUAUUUAUUUCAUGAUGUAAUAGUAGUAAUUAAAUCUAUAAUAUUUAAAUUUAAAACCAUUAAUAUAUAUAUAUAUAUUUUACUUAUUUUAUAACCUCAAUUUAAAAAAUAUUAUUAACUUAACACAUUAAACUACUUUUUGUUCAACCUCAAUUUUAACCACAGUUUUAACCAAAUGUAUAUAAAUAUCAAAUCAACCUCAACUAAAAGUAUUUUUUUUAAAAUAAUUUUUUUCAAAUCACAGCCACAAAAGCUACCACAAUACCAAACACAUAUAUCAGGCAUGAAUGCCACAUCAUGUACCUCAUGUAAGGUUCUCACCAGCAGCAUGCUGCUGAUUUCCUUUCUUCUUCUUUUUAUUAUUUUUUUAUUUUUGUAUUUGAGGGUUUGAUUGCAGUAAUUUUUUAAAAUAUUUUUUUACUUGGAAAUGCAUCAAAAAAAUAUUUUUUUAUUUUAAAAAAAUUAUUUUUAACAUCAGCACAUUAAAAUAAUCUAAAAGCACUAAAUAAUAUUAAUUUAAAACAAAGAAAAAAAUAAAAAAAAUUGAAUUUUUUAAAAAUAAUUUUUAAAACGCAAAAAUAAAAAAAAUAUUAAGAUUUUUUAAAAUAUAUCAAAAAUAAUUUUUUAAAAAUAAAAAAUAUUAUUUUAAUAUAUUUUUAAAUAAAAAAAUAUUUUAAAACACCACAUUUCAUGGUAUUUCCGUAACAAUGCUAAGAUAAGUUGAUAACUGGGUUUCAAUCUAUGAUGAAGCUACAGAUCCCAAGACAAGUGCAUCCACAGAUCCAGCCAAUGGUUCAUUCCCAAAAUUUCAAAUUUCAGCAGCAUUUUAAUUUAUUAUAUAUUGUUACAUUAAUAAAAUAUAUUUAACCCUGCCAUCUUGCUUUACAGGACUUAAAACUGAUAAUAUAAUUACCGUUAAAAAAAAUGAUCUCUUGAAUAUGAGUUGGAUAAUAUAUAUAUAUAUAUAUAUAUAUAUAUAUAUAUAUAUAUAUAGGACCAAUGACCCGAUAAUAAACCUGAUUACCCGGGUCGUCUCCUAGGCCCGGUUCACUCACUCGUCGCGUUGGGGUGCCCAUAAAUCUUUUAUUCACUCCAACACACACUCACACUCACACGCUCACCCUCAUUCCAUUUUUUUUCCCCACUCUCUCUUUUCCACUCUCUUCUUUCGUUUUAGUGUCUUCAUCCUCUUUUCUAGUGGAAGGAAAGGUAAAAACAGUUGGUACACUCUAAAAAAAUUCCCUCCUUUCCAUUUCUCCACUCAAUGCAGCACCACCAGAAGCAUCACCGUCACAAGCGCCCCCCACGACAGCCAUUGAUCGAGCUCCAACCGGGUCAGGUUGCAUUCCGAGUAGUCUGCCAUGCUUCGAAAAUCGGUGCUCUCAUUGGCCACUCCGGAUCCGUAAUAUCCCAAAUCCGGCUUGAAACCGGUUGCCUUGUUCACUGCGAGGAGGCCGUGAAGGGUUCGGAGCACCGGGCGAUCGUGGUGGCGGGGUCCGCAUCCCCAGAGAGGAAAAUCGCGGUGGGUGAAGAUGAGACGGUGGAAGUGUCUGCAGCGCAGGAAGCGGUGGUUAGGGUUUUGGAGAGGAUGUGGGAGGUGGAUGCGGUGAAAGAUGGCGGUGAUUGCGAGGGGUAUUGUGGACUUUUGGCCAAUACGUCGCAGAUUGGUGCCGUUGUGGGUAGAGAAGGCAGGAAUAUCAAGAGAAUGAAGAGAGCUAGUGGGGCCCAUAUCUGGAUUCUCCCGGCCCCACUUUGCGCGUUAAAGGAAGAUCAAUUAAUUCAGGUUUUUUUCUUCCUUUUUUUGGCUACAUAUUUCUCGUAUAAUAAUUCAUGAUAGAUUUUAUGUUUUUGUAGGAGAAAGUAAUACAAAUUUUGAUAUAGUUAAUAAUUUCUUAAAUCAUAGUUUAAGAAAAAUAAAAUCUUUUAUAUCAUCUGAAAUGAAAUUUGAAAAAAUUGGUGUAUGAAAAAAAAAAAAAGAUUACAGGGAGUAGCACUGUGGCUGUAAAGAAAGCUGUGAUUGCUAUAACUAGCUGCCUUCAAGAUUGUCCUCCAUAUGAGAAGGAUGAAGUGGAUUUAAGCCUUGAAGCUGUUAGGAGAAGAAGAAGUGGUUCCUCUGGUGAUCCACAUGCGGAAUUCUUCCCUCAUUUGUGUUCCCUGCUACCCACAUAUUCUGAAAAUAUUGCAACUGAUAAAGACCAUAAGAAACCUAACGAACAAUUACAAGUUCAAUUUAGGAUGAUCUGCCCCCAUGGUGCAGCUGGGAGCAUCAUAGGCAAGGGAGGGUCUGUAGUCAGAGCUCUGCAAAAUCAAACUGGUGCUUCUAUCAUCCUUGCUCCUCCUAUAACCAACUCCGACGGUCGUCUAGUUACUGUUUCUGCAUUGGAGAAU